UUCAGCAACACUGUAUUCUGAAUGUUGCAUUUGUAAUGUCUGUUUUAUUUGUAGGCUCUGUUUGUUCUCCUUUUUCUGCCUUUUCUUUCGAACUUGAAGGGCAUACCAUUUUCUGAGCUCCCUUCAUUUCUUAAGAGCGGUACUGGUUGCUUCUUCAACAUAGGAAACAAUGUUUCAGUGGAUGUUUCACCAGACGAAGCAAGUUAUGUAAAGCAAACAUCUGCAUCCUGCAUGGUAAACAUUGAACAAUUCUAAUUUUCUACGGAAUGGUAAGAAAGUCGAUUUUUCAUAAUAUCAUAUUUCAAGCACCCAAAAUUUAUGGGUUCUAAAUUUGCCACUUGACUCAUAGUUGGUUGUAGUUACAGAAUUUGCAACUAAAUACUUGUACAUUUUAUUGAA